rnacentral:rRNA from 1 species
UUCGGUAUUGUCCACGUCCGUAGUAGUUUGAGAGGGAGGCUGCUGUAGCUAGCGGCCCCAGGGCUAGAAGAGGAGAACUGAGGACGACGUUGACGGUUGGUACCGGAGGCUCUGACAACAGGAGUUCCACCGUUACAGGACGCCUCCAACGAGCCCCCGCCAAUUUUCCCACGAGUGGUUUUACCUUCCGCAGCUCUCGAAGCUGUAGCUGUACCUCGUCGUCUUCCACUGGCACUUCCCGUUGCAGUUCGGUCUUCUGCAAAAGGUCUGCCAGAGGUUCUGGCCCUUCUUCUGGCGGAAGACCCUCCGGCUUCGGUGAGGCCGGCGACGACGGCGACUCCGACGCGGCCGGCGAGGACGUGGCCUCCGCCGACGGGGCUGUCGUCUGCGGCGCGGACGUGGCCUCCGUUGGGGCCGGUUGUGGCAGCGAACUACCCGUGCGUAUCUACUACGGCGGCACUGGAAACUUUUGAGGUUCUAUAACAACAACUCUCUCAGUACACACCCGCCAAACGUGCUACAAUGAAUGCUCAACUGAUGUUGCAUUACCUUAUUUGUUUCACACAUACUGAAUCUUUUUACUUGUGCAGCAGCUGGUGUACUAAAUGUUAUCUAAAGGCAAGAUAAUUACAAGAUGUCGAGAAGGCAACUGCUUUCACAAGUCACGUCGGCAGGUACAAUUUAAAUGUGUUUUAUUUUAAACAUCAAACUUCUAUGUUACAACAUAUUUCCGGAUGAACGACGUUUUUUAACACCCUGUACAAUACAAACCGUGAUCGAACUCUGACGAGUCCAACCUCUUUAGCGUCUCUCAGCAGUUGUUGAGAGGGACGAUGGCACAUAGACGCCGAAAGAAGAUGCCCAGCUUGAAGCUGCGAUCGCACCUCGGCCACCUCAACACGGCCCUCUUUGCCUGCCGUGAUGGUUCAUGUUCUACCACCCUCCGACCCUCGUAAUGAGCACGCCCCUCGUGGUGAGGAGGGUUAGUACCUGACAGUCGCCCUAGUUCCGUUUUAUAGUUGAGCCGUUUUUUUUUCCGUAUCACGUUUUUACAAGGGAGGGUGUCAUGUUUUAAAAGUAGUAGUAUCAUUUUUUGAACUACGUGUAAGUGGUAAUUUUUAUAUAAUGGAGGCGGGGUUUUAAUAACAGAAUUUAAUUCUGUUAUUAAAACCCUGCCUCCCUCAUAUUUUAAUCGUGGAAUCCAACAACUUGAAACAAGUACAAGUACGUGUGGUACUACAAGUGAUACCUCUUAGGCCAAUAGUACAACAAAAAACCGUUUUUUUUAAGGCCAAUAGUACAACUUGAUGUUAACAUAUUUUUUUUGGUAUUUAUCGUUACGAUGUAGAUCUUUGGUUG